GCAGCCUUUUUGGCUUGUGCUCCUGCCUUCAUUGCCCUUUUGUGCGCCCUGCUUAAUAUAGCCCUUAACCGUGCUCCUUUAAUAGCUCCAGUCUUUUAUGUGCAGGCAAAUAGGACUGGGUUUGGAAAGGAGACAGGAGAGACGUUUGUCCAAUCGCGUUCUUCCCGCUGUAAUUUUAUGUCCGUGCCCUUUAAGUCAUACCAGAAACGCAAAUGGAUGUUUGAAAUUUACUCUUUGUGGUAGCAGACAAAAGGCCCCGUCCCUCACAAUGCACACUUCCCUGUCACGAGAAGCACUAAAAGCGAGUUCGGCCAUAUCCGAUGCACAGGUGACUUUGCACACAUCAAGCAUAGGUCACCGGAGCCUGAGCGCUACCUGUGUAAAUCAUGGCACAAAAGGCUUGCAAUCCCAACAUUCAAGAGGUGGCACAAAGGGAAUUAUGGCACUAUGGGAAGUAUAGUUUCCAGCACAGUGAAGCAUCGACAAAGACUUCUUAAGCAAAAUGGCCCGAGGACAAAUCAUAUGACACUCUACGACAGGAAAUCUCUAAAUCGCCUAUUGUCCAGCACCACAUCAAAAUCCUACACACACACGGUAUAAGGAGGCAGGCAGAGUUUCAGGCCGCGUUCCUCAUUCCACUGACGUGAGAAACCAUUACUGAUAAAAACAAGUUUCCUGAACCUUUUGAUCAGAAGAAUGACACGUGAAUGCAUUUUUUAUUUUUUUAUUUUUAUUUUAAACAGCAGGAGUUUUCAGGGUCUGAAUAGCGAGAUCAUUUGUGUAAAACUAUUAAUAGCAGCACAAGUGUGCCAUCAGGGUAUGUUUAACUACUGAUUUGAAAGAUACGUUAUAAUAUUAAGAGUAGGAUCUGCUCCGAGGACUGCAAACAGGUAAAGGAAUAUUGCAGCCUUUUUAAAAUCUUUUUUUUCUUUCUUUCUCUCCAGCAACAGAGCAAGUGUUUACUCUAAAUUGAGUAAAUUGGCUAAUGUUAGCCAAAGGGCCGCUGUUGAUUCUGCUGACUGUAGACAGAACUACUGACCUGAGAAUUCGGCGGCACUGUGGUGUAACGUGCCUACUGGUCAUGAAAGAAGGUGAAUGCACUAUCAGUGAUUACUGACAGUGCAGGUGAAGCUGCGAGACGUCCUCAUGAAAGCGGAUACAUAUAUGUCCUGUUUUACAUCCUGGUUUUGUAGCAUUCCCAUGCUCAGAAGUUCCCAUAUUUACCCUGCAAGGAAAACAUUUAUUUAUGCAGUAUGAG
ensembl:lncRNA